CGUAGGGCGCGAGCGUUGUCCGGAUUUAUUGGGCGUAAAGAGCUCGUAGGCGGCUUGUUGCGUCAGCUGUGAAGACCCGCAGCUCAACUGUGGGCUUGCAGCUGAUACGGGCAGGCUUGAGUUCGGUAGGGGAGACUGGAAUUCCUGGUGUAGCGGUGAAAUGCGCAGAUAUCAGGAGGAACACCGGUGGCGAAGGCGGGUCUCUGGGCCGAUACUGACGCUGAGGAGCGAAAGCGUGGGGAGCGAACAGGAUUAGAUACCCUGGUAGUCCACGCUGUAAACGUUGGGCGCUAGGUGUGGGGGGGCCUCUCCGGUUCUCUGUGCCGCAGCUAACGCAUUAAGCGCCCCGCCUGGGGAGUACGGCCGCAAGGCUA
rnacentral:rRNA from 1 species